rnacentral:lncRNA from 1 species
AAACCAGAGAAGGAGAGUUAGAACAUGUUCAUUAGUCCUUUAUAGUAUCUUUGCAUGUAAAUAGUUAUUAACCAAGGUGUCAAGUAUUGUAACAGAGAUGCAGGAGAUUUGUCUAGACCAUUCCUCAAGAAGCCAGGAAAAGUUAACCAAGAAUCACACUCAGUCUGCCAGUGUUCUUCCAAUGGAUGCCUAAGACUAAGCAUUUCAUAAGAAGCCAUGCAAAUGCUUUGCAUUCAGUAGCUGGAAAGUUUGAAGAGC